AGAGUGGGUCGGGCGACCGCUGGUCCGCCAGAAGUGGGCUGGAGGAAAGUCCGAGCAGGACAGGGCACGGUGGUGGCUAACGGCCACCCGGGGCGACCCGCGGGAAAGUGCCACAGAAAAUACACAGCCGAUGAUUUCGGCUUGCCGGAACACAGGCAACGGUGAAAUGGUGCGGUAAGAGCGCACCGCGGCGCCGGUGACGGCGCCGGCAGGGCAAACCCCACCGCCUGCAAGACCAAGUAGCUGGCUACUCGGCCCGAGUGUGAGUCCGCCGUCCUUUUGGCGGACUCUGCCAGCGGGUAGGUCGCUUCACGCACAUAUUAGGGCAUAAGCCCAAACUCAAUAGGUGCGGGAGAGCCGACUGGCAACAGUUGGUCAAGAUAAAUGGUCGCCGUCCGCCGUUACCGGCGGAAUACAGAACUCGGCUUACGGACCCGCUCUUUUU
rnacentral:RNase_P_RNA from 1 species